rnacentral:rRNA from 1 species
UGAGCAACCUACCCUUGACUCCGGGAUAACAGUUGGAAACAGCUGCUAAUACCGGAUACGACCUCGACCGACAUCAGUUGAGGUGGAAAGUUCUGGCGGUCAAGGAUGGGCUCGCGGCCUAUCAGCUAGUUGGUGAGGUAACGGCUCACCAAGGCUUCGACGGGUAGCCGGCCUGAGAGGGCGACCGGCCACACUGGGACUGAGAUACGGCCCAGACCUCCGUACGGGAGGCAGNAGGUAGGGG